rnacentral:tRNA from 1 species
ACUUCUUUAGUAUAAUUAAUACCAAUAGCUUCCAAUUAUUAAACCUAAGUUAAAAUCUUAGAAGAAGUA